rnacentral:tRNA from 1 species
GAAGGACGGGCUGCGGUGGAGCGGGUGGCGCUCGAUGCGCCGGAAGCAGCUGGUCCGUGAUGUGCCGCUGGGUUCGGGUUCCGGGGCCUCCG